rnacentral:tRNA from 1 species
UAGCUCAGUUGGUUAGAGCAGACGGCUCAUAACCGUCCGGUCGUAGGUUCGAGUCCUACAAGGUA